GUGGAGGCUCCUUUGGAUGGGGUGCAGGAGGGAGAAGCUGGGCAGCGUGUUUUUGAAGUAGGACAGAGGUCCGUGCCUCCUCCUCCCGAUAUUGCUGACCUUCCACCUCCCGAUAUUACUGACCUUCCACCUCCCGAGAUAGCUGACCCUUCACCUGCUGAGGCCGUUGAUCCUCCUAAUCCUUAGGUCUUAUUUUUGUAAAGACUCUAGUUUUUCAUUUGCUUUGUAAACAUUUGAACGUUUAUAAAAUUUUUUGAAUGCUCUCUAUUGGCUUUCUUGUCUGGUUUUGCCUGUUGGUUCUUUAGUGCAUCG
rnacentral:lncRNA from 1 species